GUGAAGGUCUUCAACACUACC
rnacentral:misc_RNA from 1 species